UACAGAGGUCUCAAGCGUUGUUCGGAUUCAUUGGGCGUAAAGGGUGCGUAGGCGGCGCGGUAAGUCGGGUGUGAAAUCUCGGAGCUUAACUCCGAAACUGCAUUCGAUACUGCCGUGCUUGAGGACUGGAGAGGAGACUGGAAUUUACGGUGUAGCGGUGAAAUGCGUAGAUAUCGUAAGGAAGACCAGUGGCGAAGGCGGCAUCCUGGACCGGUAUUGACGCUGAGGCGCGAAAGCUAGGGGAGCAAACGGG
rnacentral:rRNA from 1 species